AGUGAACGCUGGCGGUAGGCCUAACACAUGCAAGUCGAACGGCAGCACAGGAGAGCUUGCUCUCUGGGUGGCGAGUGGCGGACGGGUGAGGAAUACAUCGGAAUCUACUCUGUCGUGGGGGAUAACGUAGGGAAACUUACGCUAAUACCGCAUACGACCUACGGGUGAAAGCAGGGGACCUUCGGGCCUUGCGCGAGUGACUGAGCCGAUGUCGGAUUAGCUAGUUGGCGGGGUAAAGGCCCACCAAGGCGACGAUCCGUAGCUGGUCUGAGGGGAUGAGCAGCCACACUGGAACUGGAACACGGGCCAGACUCCUACGGGAGGCAGCAGUGGGGAAUAUUGGACAAUGGGGGCAAGCCUGAUCCAGCCAUACCGCGUGGGUGAAGAAGGCCUUCGGGUUGUAAAGCCCUUUUGUUGGGAAAGAAAUCCAGCUGGCUAAUACCCGGUUGGGAUGACGGUACCCAAAGAAUAAGCACCGGCUAACUUCGUGCCAGCAGCCGCCGUAA
rnacentral:rRNA from 1 species